AACGAACGCUGGCGGCAGGCCUAACACAUGCAAGUCGAGCGAAGCCUUCGGGCUUAGCGGCGGACGGGUGAGUAACGCGUGGGAACGUGCCCUUUGCCACGGAAUAGCCCCGGGGAACUGGGAGUAAUACCGUAUGUGCCCUUCGGGGGAAAGAUUUAUCGGCAAAGGAUCGGCCCGCGUUGGAUAGGUAGUUGGUGGGGUAAUGGCCUACCAAGCCGACGAUCCAUAGCUGGGUUGAGAGGAUGAUCAGCCACACUGGGACUGAGACACGGCCCAGACUCCUACGGGAGGCAGCAGUGGGGAAUCUUAGACAAUGGGGGAAACCCUGAUCUAGCCAUGCCGCGUGAUCGAUGAAGGCCUUAGGGUUGUAAAGAUCUUUCAGUGGGGAAGAUAAUGACUAUACCCACAGAAGAAGCCCCGGCUAACUCCGUGCCAGCCGCCGCCGUAAUAC
rnacentral:rRNA from 1 species